GCCCAGGUAGCUCAGUUGGUAGAGCAGGGGACUGAAAAUCCUCGUGUCGGUGGUUCAAUUCCGCCCCUGGGCACCA
rnacentral:tRNA from 1 species